rnacentral:piRNA from 1 species
UCCCACAGCUUUCUAGUCUCCCUACUUCCC